GGAAGGUCUAAGGCACUGAGGCUUGGGCGGCGGCGACGUUCAACGGUGCUCCGGCGGCGGCGGUGCUUCUUGUGGACAACAAGCAAGCUCUGGCACUGGGCGGAGGAUCAGGCGACUGGUGGAUUGGGGAGAAGCGGGUUUGAGCGGAGAGGGGAACUUCUCAAGAGCUCAAGCGGCAGGGCUCAAGUGCGAGCAGAGUAGGGUGUGGCGAAGUAGCGAUGGCGAAGGAAAC
rnacentral:lncRNA from 1 species